UGAGGAACAUGACUUUCGGUGGGGGAGUAGCCGGCCCAACGGCCGGGUAAUACCGCGUACGACCACUUGGGGACAUCCCCGAAUGGUGAAAGCAGCAAUGCGCCGAAAGAGUGCCUCGCGGCCUAUCAGCUAGUUGGUGAGGUAAUGGCUCACCAAGGCGACGACGGGUAGCUGGUCUGAGAGGGUGAUCAGCCACAUUGGGACUGAGACACGGCCCAGACUCCUACGGGAGCAG
rnacentral:rRNA from 1 species